rnacentral:rRNA from 1 species
AGUGGGGAAUCUUGCGCAAUGGCCGAAAGGCUGACGCAGCGACGCCGCGUGGAGGAUGACGCCCUUCGGGGUGUAAACUCCUGUUGCCCGGGACGAAUACCUGUUUCGACAGGGGUGACGGUACCGGGUGAGGAAGCACCGGCUAACUCUGUGCCAGCAGCCGCGGUAAUACAGAGGGUGCGAGCGUUGUCCGGAAUCACUGGGCGUAAAGGGCGCGUAGGUGGCUGGGUAAGCGUGUGGUGAAAGCCCGGGGCUCAACCCCGGGUCGGCCAUGCGAACUGUCCGGCUGGAGCACGGUAGAGGCACAUGGAAUUCCGGGUGUAGCGGUGGAAUGCGUAGAGAUCCGGAAGAACACCGGUGGCGAAGGCGGUGUGCUGGGCCGUUGCUGACACUGAGGCGCGACAGCGUGGGGAGCAAA